CGUACAAAACCCCCUCUGCCCAGGAGUUGCUCAUCUUUAGUUCUCAGAAAGAGAGGAGAAGUUGUUUGUGCAUAUUUUCUCAUCUGAGUAGUCUACAGGUCCUAGCAGACACAACGUCUCUGAUAUUCUCAGAGACCUAAAAGGACAUGGAUAUGAAGCCUCUGAUGAUUCUCCUCCUGCUAGCAGCUGUCACCACCACCGCCCCUGCAGCAGCUCAAACCACCACCGCCCCUGCAGCAGCUGUC